AAAGCAUGUUAGUAAUAAUCCCUUUCUCAUUUUCAAAAAAAUAAAAAGUAAAAAACAAAAGACCUUCAAAAUAAAAAAAAUAAAAGGAGAAAAACAAAUACUAAUCUUGGAUUCUUGGGCCACACGUUUGCUACAGUCUCUAGUUCCCACACUCUUUAUAGCAACCUCACUGGCAAUCCCAUUUCACAACAAGUUUACCUCUGUUUCAAACCCUUUUCAAUUUCAACUAUUAUCACUGCAUUGAAAAUCAAUAUGCAAUUUAACGACUCAAUUGACUCAUCCCAAGUACUGCUAAUGAAGUACAGAGAAGGCAAACAAAGGAGCAAAUCUACGCAAAUGGUCCCACCGAAAAGAGGGCAGAUUCAAUUAAGGAUAAUUAAGAUGAUCGCCACCGCGCUUUUGUGUUCAACCUGUAGGAAGGAACAACGCCACAACGGUGAUGCAGUUCCUUUUGAGUCUUUGAGUUCCACUUCAAUUGAAAAAGGAUAUAGCUCAUAAGCUUAACACUCGUUUCUUCUAUGGACUCCGAAAUUUUGCAUAGUCUCACCCUGAAUAACUUGUGUAAAUGUAUUUACGUUGUUGAAUCUUGUAAAUCAAAUUUUGUAGCUGAUUUUGUUUGUAAGUUGUUGCUCCUUGAUCUCGAUGGAUGUGUUUUUUGUAUUCAUAAUUUUUUAUACCAAUGUUUUUAUAAUGUCUUAACUUCUUGGAGGGUUUUUAAAAGAAAAUUUCCGAUUGCAG
rnacentral:lncRNA from 1 species